rnacentral:rRNA from 1 species
GACGAACGCUGGCGGCGUGCCUAAUACAUGCAAGUAGAACGCUGAAGAGAGGAGCUUGCUCUUCUUGGAUGAGUUGCGAACGGGUGAGUAACGCGUAGGUAACCUGCCUUGUAGCGGGGGAUAACUAUUGGAAACGAUAGCUAAUACCGCAUAACAAUGGAUGACACAUGUCAUUUAUUUGAAAGGGGCAAUUGCUCCACUACAAGAUGGACCUGCGUUGUAUUAGCUAGUAGGUGAGGUAAUGGCUCACCUAGGCGACGAUACAUAGCCGACCUGAGAGGGUGAUCGGCCACACUGGGACUGAGACACGGCCCAGACUCCUACGGGAGGCAGCAGUAGCGAAUCUUCGGCAAUGGGGGCAACCCUGACCGAGCAACGCCGCGUGAGUGAAGAAGGUUUUCGGAUCGUAAAGCUCGGUUGUAAGUCAAGAACGGGUGUGAGAGUGGAAAGUUCACACUGUGACGGUAGCUUACCAGAAAGGGACGGCUAACUACGUG